rnacentral:rRNA from 1 species
AUGUCCACCUGCCUCUCCGAUCUCAUAAAGGACUACCCCGUCGAUUUCUUGGCGUUACAAGAAACUAUGAAAAAAACUUUCAUAAUAGUUACUUCAGAAAAAUUUGACCCCUAUGAUCUUUUCACUUGGCGUUGGGUCCCCUCGAUAGGUAAAUCUGGUGGAAUCCUUUGUGGUAUAAAAAAAGAAAAAUUUGAGGUUGUUUCCUGGAAAGUGGGUAAGUUUAUCUUACAAGCCACUGUUCAUGAUGUUGAAAAAGAUGCAGUUUGGGCCCUCCUGGUAGUGUAUGGAGCGGCCCAAUAUGAAUUCAAAGAGGAUUUCCUUGUUCAAAUGGCUUCCUUCUGCUCCCAUAUUGGUAUUCCUUAUGUCAUAGGUGGUGACUUUAACAUCCUGAGAGUGGGAGAUGAUAAGAACAAAAAUAUGAGACAUAAUCAAUAUGUUGACAAAUUUAACUCUGUGAUCAAUACUCUUAACCUUAGAGAGAUCCAUCUAACCGGUGGUAAAUAUACUUGGUCGAAUCAACAGGCGCAUCCUACCCUAGAAAAACUGGAUAGGGUGCUUAUGAGCUAUGCAUGGGAAGAUUUAUUCCCCUUGGUGUCGGUUCGUAAACUUGUUAGGGAUAAAUCUGACCAUAAUCCCCUUUUUCUUUCC